rnacentral:rRNA from 1 species
CAAUAGCGUAUAUUUAAGUUGUUGCAGUUAAAAAGCUCGUAGUUGGAUUUCGGGUGGGACUUGCCGGUCCGUCGUUUCGAUGUGCACUGGCCAGUCCUAUCUUGUUGUCGGGGACUAGCUCCUGGGCUUCACUGUCCGGGACUAGGAGCUGACGAGGUUACUUUGAGUAAAUUAGAGUGUUCAAAGCAAGCCUACGCUCUGAAUACAUUAGCAUGGAAUAACACGAUAGGACUCUGGCUUAUCUUGUUGGUCUGUGAGACCAGAGUAAUGAUUAAGAGGGACAGUCGGGGGCAUUCGUAUUUCAUUGUCAGAGGUGAAAUUCUUGGAUUUAUGAAAGACGAACUUCUGCGAAAGCAUUUGUCAAGGAUGUUUNCAUUAA